GAAGACGACGAGGUUGAUAGGCGGGAUGUGGACGCACCGCAAGGUGUUGAGCUAACCCGUACUAAUGGUCCGUGAGGCUUGACCAU
rfam:Halomonas ilicicola DSM 19980 genome assembly, contig: EJ56DRAFT_scaffold00020.20